CAAAACGAUGCGCGGUCACACAGAUGUCUCGGAGGUUUACGGCACUGCUCCCUCGUGUUUUGGGUCCAAAACCCAGCUUCUCGUUUGUGUUUCCUCACGAAGUAGGACAGAGUUUCUAUCUAUAUAGCUUUUCAAGUGGUAUUUUCAUCUUGUCAAUAGCUCGAGCUUUUCGAUUGUGACAGGUGAAGAUCGUUAGACAUGCCACGUCUUCCUAUCAUUCUUCUAUCACUUGUUGAAGGACAUUUGUGACAAAUUAAAAUGCCGACCGAAAGGGAAAGCUCAAGAUCUAUAUACCUUGCAGAAUUGGUUGACCUGAGAGUUGUUGAACACUUUUGACUUUUAUCCAUCAAGAGAGAGAUCAACUCAAUGGGAAACUACGAAAUUAUUUCCGGCACAAACAUAUAUCAACAAUUUCUUCCGAUAUCUUGUCAAGUCUUUCCGGCUUCUGCUAACGUUGCCAUUCAUCAAAGACCAGUGAUUAUUAUCACAUGCCAAUAUUUUAGAGAAAGCACUUUGCUUGCUGAAAUCCCUUUCAUAAUUUAGUGGAUAAAGUUUUAAAGCGUCAAAACAAAAAGAGCUUUUUCUUGAUAUUCUAGAAAAUCCUUCCUGCCCUAUCAACGCCCUGCCAAUAUCCAUGGACGAAUAAAAACACGCAUACAUAACCUUGCAUAUGAAGCGAGACGCAUUUCAAGCAAAAGGUGAACAUAAC
rnacentral:sRNA from 2 species